rnacentral:rRNA from 1 species
UACAGAGGUCCCGAGCGUUAAUCGGAAUUACUGGGCGUAAAGCGUGCGUAGACGGUUAUUUAAGUCGGGUGUGAAAGCCCCGGGCUCAACCUGGGAAUUGCAUUCGAGACUGAAUAGCUAGGGUACGGUAGAGGGAAGUGGAAUUUCCGGUGUAGCGGUGAAAUGCGUAGAUAUCGGAAGGAACAUCAGUGGCGAAAGCGACUUCCUGGACCAGUACCGACGUUCAGGCACGAAAGCGUGGGGAGCAAACAGG